rnacentral:rRNA from 1 species
AGAGCGAACGCUGGCGGCAGGCCUAACACAUGCAAGUCGAGCGGCCGUAGCAAUACGGCAGCGGCAGACGGGAUAGUAACACGUGGGAACGCGCCCUUCGGUUCGGAAUAACUCAGGGAAACUUGAGCUAAUACCGGAUACGCCCUUACGGGGAAAGAUUUAUUGCCGAAGGAACGGCCCGCGUCCGAUUAGCUAGUUGGUGAGGUAAUGGCUCACCAAGGCUACGAUCGGUAGCUGGUCUGAGAGGAUGACCAGCAUCACUGGGACUGAGACACGGCCCAGACUCCUACGGGAGGCAGCAGUGGGGAAUAUUGGACAAUGGGCGCAAGCCUGAUCCAGCCAUGCCGCGUGGAUGAUGACGGCCUUAGGGUUGUAAAGUCCUUUUAACGGGGAAGAUAAUGACGGUACCCGUAGAAUAAGCCCGGCUAACUUCGCGCCAGCAGCCGC